UACAGAGGGGGCAAGCGUUGUUCGGAAUUACUGGGCGUAAAGGGCGCGUAGGCGGCGCGGUAAGUCACUUGUGAAAUCUCUGAGCUUAACUCAGAACGGCCAAGUGAUACUGCAGUGCUAGAGUGUGGAAGGGGCAAUCGGAAUUCUUGGUGUAGCGGUGAAAUGCGUAGAUAUCAAGAGGAACACCUGAGGUGAAGACGGGUUGCUGGGCCAACACUGACGCUGAGGCGCGAAAGCCAGGGGAGCAAACGGG
rnacentral:rRNA from 1 species